rnacentral:tRNA from 1 species
AAGGCCAUAGCUUAAAUGGUAAAGCAAGCUGCUCAUGAUAGCUCAGAUAAGUGUUCAAAUCACUUUGUCCUUA